rnacentral:misc_RNA from 1 species
AGACUCCAUAUACUAAGUUAUAAUUAAAAAAUUAGAAAAUCUGAAGAUGCCUAGAUGCAGAUUGCCAACUUGUGUCAUUCAUACAUAGAUUUCUUCACGACAUGUAUUCACCUGUAUUGAUACGCAACAUCUAACAACCUAUACUCGGCCACUAUAGAAUAUUCAUAUCACGGAGCAGUUUCGAUAAGAUUACACUGUGCCAUUAAGAGCGUAUGGACAAGCAGGGUGUUACUAUGCAUCUAGGUUGACCGAUCGGAAACUCGUGAAAUGUACGUCUGGCGUUGCUCCUUUGAAGGAAGGCCUCAACACCCCUGCUCUUAAUAUACGACUCGCCGUCUGUGCCGCAUUUGCGUGCACGCACAACAUAACUGAGCAAAGCACGAGCCAACGUUACAUUAAUCUUUGUCGCUAUUCGCUUUCGCCUGGACUUUAUACUUAAGUUGGCCAAAACCGAAUCGAGUUAAUUGCUACAACAAUAUGGCAAACAAUCGAGAACAGCAUUGCAGAGUCUAAUCGGCACGUUUGCAGCGUAAACGCUCAAGUGAUAAUUCUAAAGAAAAGAACCACAAGAAAGACCAUAAAGCCUGGGUUCCCAACCUACAGGUCGCGAUGUGUUUCCUGAAUUGUAGAAGGUUUCUAACGUUUUUUAACAAUUUUAAAUAUUAAGUUAGAUUCAUAUUCUAAACCAUUUAUUUCUAAAUCAAUUGCUCUACUUUAUUAAAAAUCCUUUUUAUAUUACAAUAAGAUUAUUUAUUAC